CAGAGUACGUGAAACUGCUUAGAGGUUAAGCCCGAUGAACCUGAAUAUCCAUUGGGGAAAAUUCAUCAUUAAGAUUUAAAAUAUUUAUAACAUUUUAAAUAAUGGUGUGCAUUUUUUCCCCAUAAAGGACAUUGUAAUCUAUUAGCAUGAAAUAAAAAAAAUUUAUCAUAAGAUCAGCGUGCGCUAAAGUUUAUUCAAAUUAUAUUGCUUGCGAUUUAAUAUCGAAUAAAUGCAUUUGAUUUGAUAAAGUGUUGAUAGAUUUAAAAAUUAUAUAGUGCUUAAAUAUUAUGUAUAUAAUAUUUUAUAAUAGCAUAUUAAUCAUUGAUUUUUAUGUUUAUUUUAUAUGCACUUAUAUGAUUAACAAUGCGAAAGAUUCAGGAUACCUUCGGGACCCGUCUUGAAACACGGACCAAGGAGUCUAACAUAUUUGCAAGUUAUUGGGUAUAUACUCAAAACCUAAUAGCGUAAUUAACAUAACUAAAUUUAUAUAAUGGGAUUAGUUUUUGGCCUAAUGUAUUUUAGUGUCUAUUAAUUCAAUCCCGGGGCGUUCUAUACAGUUAUGUAUAAUAAUAUUUAUAUUAUUUAUACCUCUAACUAGAGCGUACCUUGAGCAUAUAUGCUGUGACCGA
rnacentral:rRNA from 1 species